rnacentral:rRNA from 1 species
UGAGGAAUAUUGGUCAAUGGGCGAGAGCCUGAACCAGCCAAGCAGCGUGCAGGAUGACGGCCCUAUGGGUUGUAAACUGCUUUUAUAUGGGAAUAAAGUGAGGGACGUGUCCCUUAUUGCAUGUACCAUACGAAUAAGGACCGGCUAAUUCCGUGCCAGCAGCCGCGGUAAUACGGAAGGUCCAGGCGUUAUCCGGAUUUAUUGGGUUUAAAGGGAGCGUAGGCUGUUUGUUAAGCGUGUUGUGAAAUGUAAGAGCUCAACUUUUAGAUUGCAGCGCGAACUGGCAGACUUGAGUGCGCACAACGUAGGCGGAAUUCAUGGUGUAGCGGUGAAAUGCUUAGAUAUCAUAACGAACUCCGAUUGCGAAGGCAGCUUACGGGAGCGCAACUGACGCUAAAGCUCGAAGGUGCGGGUAUCGAACAGG